AUAGGGCCUUUUAUGACCUAGCCUCCGAAGUCACACAUUGUCACUUUGGCCACAUUCUAUUCAUUAGGAGUAAGUCAUUAAGUGUAGCCCUUUUGUGAAGGGAAGGGUAUCAAAGAAUUUGUGAACAUAUUUUAAAACCACUAGUAUUACCCUUAUACAUAAUCUUUGUGUAGUUGUGUGACUAUUUCCUUAGAAUACAUUUCUAGAACUGGAAUUGCUGGGUCUAGCAAUAUAUGCACUUUUAACUUUGAUAAUUCCUCCUGUUUGUAUUAGAAACUGUUCACUGUCCCCCUACUAUCCAUUUUCUCUUUUCUUCCUUUUAGCAAUGAAUCUCCUGAGUUUCAGGGAGAAAUCUAUUCAGAGAACAGAUGUGGUAGUGGGAGUCAGCUUCCAGCAGGUGAUGCAGAGUGCUGAGACAGAUGACGACAGGCUGGGCUUCAGUUCCCUCACCUGGAGAGUGAUGAGAACACCAGCGCAAAAUUCCAGGGCCAUUGGGAAGAUGGAAUGAAAUAGUACAUGUAAUGGCUCGCAUCCAUAGUGCCUGGAACAUAACAAAUGCUCGUAAAGGAACAGAUUGCUCAAAAAUCAGACGACUGUUGGGUGAAAUGCGAGUGGGGAAAGGAGUGAGAUGAAGGGAACAGAGCCCUUCCAAACUCGCCCUUCAGCCUUCCUACCCAAUCAGAAAGGAAAUCAGUCAUGCCCACAAUCCUGCCAAUAACACAGUGUAGCGGCUGCAUUCUUUGGACCAAUGACAGUGAGCUGUAGAAGAAAUCUCAUUUGGAGAAGAGAUGGGGGCUUGUGUUUACUGAACAUCUACUACGAAUCAGGCCCUGUGCUUUUUUUUGCAUCUGUUCUCUUCUAAAGGGGAAUCAGGAUCCUGGCUGAGGGACCCUGGACUAUUUCACCUUUCAGGAUCUCAGUUUCUUUAGACCAAAAACACUAACUCUUAUUUUUUUGUUGCACUUUUUUAAAAAAAAUUAAACUUUAAGUUCUGGGGUACAUGUGCAGAAUGUGCAGGUUUGUUACAUAGGUAUACAAGUGCCAUGGUGGUUUGCUGCACCCAUCAACCCAUCAUCUACACUAGAUAUUUCAACUGAUGCUAUCCCUCCCCUAGCCCCCCAACCCCAAGACAGGCCCCAGUGUGUGAUGUUCCCUUCCCUGUGUCCAUGUGUUCUCAUUGUUCAGCUCCCACUUAUGAGUGAGAACAUGUGGUGUUUGGUUUUCUGUUCUUGUGUUAAUUUGCUGAGAAAGAUGGUUUCCAGCUUCAUCCAUGUCCCUGCAAAGGACAUGAACUCAUCCUUUUUAAUGGCUGCAUAGUAUUCCAUGGUGCAUAUCUGCCACAUUUUCUUUAUCCAGUCUAUCAUUGAUAGGCAUAAUUCCUAUUCUUUAAAAAAUUUUUUUUUGUAGAGAUGGGGUCUUGGUAUGUUUCCCAGGCUGGUCUCAAACUCCUGGGCUCAAGUGA
rnacentral:lncRNA from 10 species